GGAGUAGUCCAGGCGGUCGCCGGUCCGUUCAGGACGGGAGGAAAGUCCGAACACCGCAGGGCAGGGUGCUCCAUAACGUGGAGUCGUGGCGACACGAAGGAAAGUGCAACAGAAAGCAUACCGCCGCGGAGGCGGCGCCGACGGCGCCUCGCCCCCGCGGUAAGGGUGAAAAGGUGCGGUAAGAGCGCACCAGUCCCCCGGGUGACCGGGGGGCUCGGCAAACCCCACCCGGUGCAAGACCAAAUAGGGGGGCGUUUGAGGGCGGCCCGUCCGAGCCCCCGGGUAGGUCGCUGGAGGUGCCGGGCAACCGGCAUCCUAGAGGAAUGACCGCCGCCCCCGCAAGGGGGAACAGAAUUCGGCUUAUGGACUGCUCCGGCC
rnacentral:RNase_P_RNA from 1 species